AAAAGUUACAUACUCCCAUCUUUCUUCUUUACGAAUAGAAUAGGAGCACCCCAAUGUCUUUUAGUGUCGAGGUUACUAUUCACGUAUACGGCACUAUUCACGUAUACGGAACUAUUCACGAAUACAACACUAUUCAUAGAAAAAUUAAAUUUUUGUUUUUUGUCCAAAAUAUCUAUUAUGGAUACUAGCUUUGAUUGUAUCCAUGUUUUGAUCAUUCUUGAAUUUUACUCCACUAUAAUUAUUUAUGAAGUAUUUUUGAACUCGG
rnacentral:lncRNA from 1 species